AAGUUCAAUUAAAACUAAUAGGAGGGUUUGUUUUCCAGUUUUUGGAUGAACGGGAAAAUGACAAACCAAAUCCCCUCCAGAAACUAAUGCUGCUUACCUAGUUCAAGAUAAAUUGGUCUUUUUUUCUCCAGCCAAAACAGAAAGAUGUUAAACUUAAUAUAGCAUUCCCUUGGAGUGAGAAAGCUUUCUGCGCACUUCUGGCCUUUCCACGAUCAUCAUAACAAGUUAGAAGUCUCACCAGAUUUUAAGCAAAUCGAUUGGAUCUGUGAAAUUUUGCACCAGCACAGCUUCUAUGACAGCUCAAGUCAGGAAGUAGCUAGUCUGAGUCCUCAAGUAAAAGCUUUCGACAGAAUCCAAUAUAACCCAAAGCAACAAGAAGUGGGAAGGUAGGUGGCUGUGCCUCCUUGUGUGCUUCUGAGGCAAAGGGUCUAAAGUAGUGGGUUUGGUGGGCUCCCCUGGGCCUCUGUUCUGCUGUCUAUUUCAAUAGCUUUAAUGGGUGAUGGCGAAAUUUCAGUCACUGCCUCAAAGAAGAGAGCAGCACGAACUCAACUCACAAAAGAUGUUGAUUUUGAUGCUGAGAAUGAGGAUGGUGGUCUUUGUGGGCAAGAAACAAAAGAUUUUCAAAGGGCAAGUGAGGAUGUCUUGGCUACUAGGAAUUUUUUUAAAGUCUGUCGAUCCCAAUCCUCUUCUGAAGGAGCCUCUAGUCCAUUUUCAGCUGUAAAAUUGGCUAUUCCUAGUGCUGCUCCACAAGUAGAAGAGGCUUCUAAAGACGCAAAUGAAUUUAGUAAUCAGGCUGAGAUAUCACUCGAGAGAGAGGCCAUUGAGGUUGGAGAGUUUGCUUUGAGGGAAGUUGAUGAAAAGGAGAACUCGGAAGCAGGAUUAAUAGACCUCAAUUCCACAGGUCUAAACUCGGGAGAACCCACCAGUGGGAAGAAGGAAUUGCAAGGAGAAUCCACAAAUUUCAAGCAUACAGAUCUUAACACAGAGGAAACAGACACAGGAUACUCAAACAAGGAGGAAACUGAGAAAGAGGAGGGAGCAGAAGGUGAGGAGAAGACAAAAAGGAAAACUUUUGAACGAAAACAACCUGCCGCCGUCAAAACAUUUCAACAGCUUUCUACUGCACAGAAUGCUUUCACAGGAAUUUCAGGAACUGGAUUUUCUUGCUCCUCUUUUUCCUUUGAUACUAAAAUAAUGCCUUUCGGAUCAACCCCAAAGUUUGGUUCUUUUAGCACAGGAUCUGCUUUUGGUUCUGCAUCCAGCACGGUGUCUGUGGGUGGCACAGGUUCGUUUGGGACAAAAUUAAGCAGUGAUGAUUUGGGUCCAUCUGCUGCUUCUGGGGAUACAUGCAAUAGUUCUGGUCCUCUCCAGCUAUUUGGAACAGCAGCAGCUGACACCAUUCCAAGAAUUGGAAGUGGCAUGGGGACAACUCAGGAAGUAUCCAUUGAGACUGGUGAAGAGAAAGAAAACUCAGUAUUUACUGCUGAUGCUGCCCUAUUCCAGUAUAUAAAUGGGGGAUGGAAGGAACGUGGCAAAGGUGAACUUAGGUUGAACAUUCCAACAGCAGAUGUUGGAAGAGCAAGGCUUGUGAUGAGGGCCAGAGGUAACUAUAGAUUAAUCCUUAACGCCAAUAUGUAUCCGGAUACGAAAUUGACUGGAAUGGAGAAACGGGGUUUUACUUUUGCUUGCUUCAACAGUGCUGGGGAAGCCAAAGAAGGCCUUGGAACCUUUGCACUGAAGUUUAAAGACAGUUUUAUAGCUGAAGACUUCCAGGCAGCUAUAGAAGCACACAAAGACAGAUUACUGACUGAGUUGAAAACACUGGAGAAUUCAUCAGAGUCUGUUGAAUGUCCACAAAUGCUUAACAACACCACUGACCCUUGAUAACAAGAAAGCUAUUUCUUUACAUGGAUCAUCUACAAGAGGAAUUUUUUUUCGGUAAAGUGGCCACGGUGGUGCUUUUGUUUUCCAUCUUUACAAUCUGAAUUCACAUUUUCUCAAAUGGUGCUUUAGUUCUAUAAUUUCUUUUCUUUUUUCUUCUUUGUGGAACAUGCACUGAUUUAGCUGUGGCUGGUGGAAUAACAUAAAUAGUUUUGCUGCAACCUUUGGCCAUCAAGUUUCCUUGGCCUCACAUGUGGCAUCGGUUGCAAAUGUUCAAGGGGUGUUUGUGAGCUCCAAAUUGAACCCAGGUCCCUUAUGCAGCAACUGCUCCAAUUCACUACUAGAUCUCUGGCGGAUGGAUUUAGCUCAUCUAGAUAGGAGCAGAAUUCACUUCGGCUUCCAAAUUUUCUUCAAGUCUAAUUGUGAACACUUUUGCAGCCUAUAAAGUCCAUGCGAUUUCAUGGUCAGGAGACUUUGGAGAAACAAAAAUAGCAUAUGCUAAAUAAUAAACCAUGCAAAGCUAAGAAGUUUUCAUGACUUUGGACAGCUGUUCUUGAGAAAGUAAAUACAUCAAUGGAGCACAAAGAGUGGAUGAAAAUUUGGAUGUGCAGUCAUUGGCGACAAGGUGCAUGAUGUAGAAGGCAGGAAGAUAACCUGCACAAACAAAGAUGUUGGGAACAAGGAAAACGCACAUAUAACAAGGUUGAAAGGAAUUCGUAAUCACUUCCCACAGCCAAUUACUCGUGAAGAAAAUCUUUGACCGCGGUGGAUUUGAGUGCAGGGCUCUAAAUUUGGUACAAAUUUGAGUGCAAAAUUAGCGGUGGUGGAUUUGAGUGCAGAGCUCCAAAUUUGGUACAAUUUGAGUGAGUGGAAAACUAGCGGUGGUGGAUUUUGAGUGCAGAGCUCAAAAUUUGGUACAAAUUUUAGUGCAAAACUAGCGGUUUGUGCAAAUUCCGAUCUAAAAGUUAGAGGUGACUUAAAGAUUUCUGAGUUUAAAUAGUAUAUGUAGCAUGGUUAAAUAAGGACUUUUUUAAUAUCAAGCAAUGACAAUCUUACGUAAAGACUUACAAUUUGAUUUAAUUUUAUGACUUGUAAUCAAACAUUCCUAAACACAUACAAUUCAUGAUAUAAUAUAAUCACACUGCAUAUUGCAUA